GAUGAACGCUGGCGGCGUGCCUAACACAUGCAAGUCGAACGGAGUCGUUUUGGAAAUCUCUUCGGAGAUGGAAUUCUCGACUUAGUGGCGGACGGGUGAGUAACGCGUGAGCAAUCUGCCUUUAAGAGGGGGAUAACAGUCGGAAACGGCUGCUAAUACCGCAUAAAGCAUUAAAUUCGCAUGUUUUUGAUGCCAAAGGAGCAAUCCGCUUUUAGAUGAGCUCGCGUCUGAUUAGCUAGUUGGCGGGGUAAUGGCCCACCAAGGCGACGAUCAGUAGCCGGACUGAGAGGUUGAACGGCCACAUUGGGACUGAGACACGGCCCAGACUCCUACGGGAGGCAGCAGUGGGGAAUAUUGCGCAAUGGGGGAAACCCUGACGCAGCAACGCCGCGUGAUUGAAGAAGGCCUUCGGGUUGUAAAGAUCUUUAAUCAGGGACGAAACAAAUGACGGUACCUGAAGAAUAAGCUCCGGCUAACUACGUG
rnacentral:rRNA from 1 species